rnacentral:rRNA from 1 species
UACGAAGGGGGCUAGCGUUGUUCGGAUUCACUGGGCGUAAAGGGUGCGUAGGUGGUGGGGUAAGUCGGAUGUGAAAUCUCCGAGCUCAACUCGGAAACUGCAUUGGAAACUACCCUGCUAGAGGGUCGGAGGGGGGACUGGAAUACUUGGUGUAGCAGUGAAAUGCGUAGAUAUCAAGUGGAACACCAGUGGCGAAGGCGAGUCCCUGGACGACUCCUGACACUGAGGCACGAAAGCUAGGGGAGCAAACAGG